rnacentral:rRNA from 1 species
AACGAACGCUGGCGGCAUGCCUAACACAUGCAAGUCGAACGAGACCUUCGGGUCUAGUGGCGCACGGGUGCGUAACGCGUGGGAACCUGCCCUUAGGUUCGGAAUAACUCCCCGAAAGGGGUGCUAAUACCGGAUAAUGUCUUCGGACCAAAGAUUUAUCGCCUUUGGAUGGGCCCGCGUUGGUUUAGCCAGUUGGUAGGGUAAAAGCCUACCAAGGCGACGAUCCAUAGCUGGUCUGAGAGGAUGAUCAGCCACACUGGGACUGAGACACGGCCCAGACUCCUACGGGAGGCAGCAGUGGGGAAUAUUGGAAAAUGGGCGAAAGCCUGAUCCAGCAAUGCCGCGUGAGUGAUGAAGUCCUUAGGGUUGUAAAGCUCUUUUACCCGGGAUGAUAAUGACAGUACCGGGAGAAUAAGCGCCGGCUAACUCCGUG